UAAUGGAAAUUAAAUACCAUUCUAACAAAACUGUAAUCUUCUUUUGCAUAACUCUUUAAGAACAAUGAAUUAAUAUUUCUCAAACUAGAAUAAAAUCAUAUGUAGGAUUAACAGCAUUUGAAAGCCAUUUCACUAUUUAUUAUAUAUAUUUACCUUAUACAAUACUCUAAAUAGAACAAUACCCAACUAAAUAUAUAUGCAGAAUUUUUUUUCUUAAACUUUGUGUAAGGUCAGUAAAUAAGAAACAUAAACUUUGCUGCAAGGCAAGUGAUGUCUUAGGAGGAAGCCUACCUCGGGAUUAGUGUCACCAUCAGGUUUUCUGUAAUGAUUUCUUUACACGGAAGCUGAAUCUUUGCUUUGAAUUACCCAUUAUAAAAUGUCUUGUUUAAAAAAAAAAUUGCAUCAUGUUUAUUAGAUUUUUCAUUUGUUCCCUUCUGACUGUGUUUUGCUCUGUCAACUGCUUAUUAGAAGAUUUCCCUUGAGAGAAAAUUGAGCUUCGUAUCCAUGCUCAUAGAUCACAGUGUGAAUACAACUUGCCGCACUCCACUUGGCAGAUGGAAAAACAGAAGCUCACAGUUGCUUGCUCAGCAUUAAACACUUUAAUAUUAUUAACACAACUAUGACUAUUACUAAAUAUACAUUGUUCCAGCAAUCAAAGGACAGAAGUGGAAAAGAAAAAGCAUGAAACUCAAAAUAGAUCCUGUAUCAUUAACCAGACGCACUGAGAAUCUGGAAUUGUGAACAAGAGGGGACAGCUACUUUGCUCUGCAUAAUAAUGUAUAGGAAACUUUCUGGGAGAUGUUAGAGAGAACUAGAAUGGGAAGGGCUGAGCAAUAUGAUGGGAGGCCAAAGCCUGAGAUUAAUUUUAAGUAAGAAGGAUCCCUGGUGAUGCAACCAUUAAUUGCUCAGCUGCUAACCAAAAGGUUGGUGGUUUAAACCCACCCAGCAGCUCCACAGAGAAAGACCUGGCAAUCUACUUCCAUAAAGAUUACAGCCAAGAAAAUUCUAUGGGGCAGUUCUACUCUGUCACAUGGGGUCGCUAUGAAUUGAAAUCAACUUGACCUUGAUGAUACCAAACAACAAUUUUCAGUAGUUCGCUCUUCUGCAAUAUGAACGUCUACUAUCUCCCCCACCAUCGGUAAAGUCGGCUCCAUAUUCAAAUGUACGUAGGUGGCUAUUGGUGAAAUCAAGGAGAAGCAUGACUUGUGAAGGUUCAACAGCCAUCUUUUAAUCAUGAGGACACAAUCCAUAGCAUCACUAGUGGUAUAAGCACCAGUACAACAGUCCUCUCUGUAUGCAACCAGCAUCUAUUCCAAUCAGUCAGCGGCCAUAUCAUACUGGUCCUUUAAUAUCAAGAUUUCAAAGCCAUGCUCUGUGCCUCGACUGUUUAACUUU